AGGGCCACAUGACAAGAAUUUGAUAAGUGGGUAAUGCGGUCUCACCUAAGGAAAGAAAGACCCGAAUGCCUUAACAUCCAGUUCAUCACCAAGACUCGCCCUCCCCUAGAUGGGUCUAGUCUUGGCAUAAAGUUAUCGCUAGUAGGAACAAUCCAACGGAUUCUCGUUACGCCUAUAAUCACAGGAUCCCUGACCAGUUAACCCGACGGGAUCCCUUAUCAAGCAGCCAACCACAUCAUUGCUUUAGAAAAUGUUAUAUUUAUCUCCAUCUUCUUACCGUAUAAAAGAGAAAUGAUCACAAAAACAAAGGUACAUUAUUUUCUUACACAACUACUCUCAAGUUCUACAUUUGCCCUAUUCUCCAGUUUACUAACUCGAGCAUCAGAGUGGCUGUUGUACGCACCCAC
rnacentral:lncRNA from 1 species